AGAGUUUGAUCCUGGCUCAGGACGAACGCUGGCGGCGCGCUUAACACAUGCAAGUCGAACGGUGAACGGGGCUUCGGCCCCGGAAUCAGUGGCGAACGGGUGCGUAACACGUGGGCAACCUGCCCCAGACACUGGGAUAACUCCGGGAAACCGGGGCUAAUACCGGAUACUCCGCUUGGAUCGCAUGGUCCGAUCGGGAAAGCUUUUGCGGUCUGGGAUGGGCCCGCGGCCUAUCAGCUUGUUGGUGAGGUAACGGCUCACCAAGGCGACGACGGGUAGCUGGUCUGAGAGGACGACCAGCCACACUGGGACUGAGAUACGGCCCAGACUCCUACGGGAGGCAGCAGUGGGGAAUCUUGCGCAAUGGGCGAAAGCCUGACGCAGCGACGCCGCGUGGGGGAUGAAGGCCCUCGGGUUGUAAACCCCUUUCGGCAGGGACGAAGCGAUUGUGACGGUACCUGCAGAAGAAGCCUCGGCUAACUACGUGCCAGCAGCCGCGGUA
rnacentral:rRNA from 1 species